rnacentral:rRNA from 1 species
GUUCCUGGCUCAGGAUGAACGCUAGCGGCAGGCCUAACACAUGCAAGUCGAGGGGCAGCACGGUGUAGCAAUACACUGGUGGCGACCGGCGCACGGGUGCGUAACGCGUAUGCAACCUACCCAUAACAGGGGGAUAACACUGAGAAAUUGGUACUAAUACCCCAUAACAUCAGGACCGGCAUCGGUUCUGGUUGAAAACUCCGGUGGUUAUGGAUGGGCAUGCGUUGUAUUAGCUGGUUGGUGAGG